AGAGUUUGAUCCUGGCUCAGAUUGAACGCUGGCGGCAGGCCUAACACAUGCAAGUUGAGCGGUAACAGAUCCAGCUUGCUGGAUGCUGACGAGCGGCGGACGGGUGAGUAAUGCAUAGGUAUUUACCCGAUAGUGGGGGAUAACCUGGGGAAACUCAGGCUAAUACCGCAUACGUCCUACGGGAGAAAGGGGGCUUCGGCUCCCGCUAUCGGAUGAGCCUAUGCCGGAUUAGCUGGUUGGUGAGGUAAUGGCUCACCAAGGCGACGAUCCGUAGCUGGUCUGAGAGGAUGAUCAGCCACAUCGGGACUGAGACACGGCCCGAACUCCUACGGGAGGCAGCAGUGGGGAAUAUUGGACAAUGGGGGCAACCCUGAUCCAGCCAUGCCGCGUGUGUGAAGAAGGCCCUCGGGUUGUAAAGCACUUUCAGUGAGGAAGAACGCCUGAUGGUUAAUACCCGUCAGGAAAGACAUCACUCACAGAAGAAGCACCGGCUAACUCCGUGCCAGCAGCCGCGGUAAUACGGAGGGUGCAAGCGUUAAUCGGAAUUACUGGGCGUAAAGCGCGCGUAGGUGGCUUGAUAAGCCGGUUGUGAAAGCCCCGGGCUCAACCUGGGAACGGCAUCCGGAACUGUCAGGCUAGAGUGCAGGAGAGGAAGGUAGAAUUCCCGGUGUAGCGGUGAAAUGCGUAGAGAUCGGGAGGAAUACCAGUGGCGAAAGCGGGCUUCUGGACUGACACUGACACUGAGGUGCGAAAGCGUGGGUAGCAAACAGGAUUAGAUACC
rnacentral:rRNA from 1 species